rnacentral:rRNA from 1 species
AGGAAUAUUGGUCAAUGGACGAGAGUCUGAACCAGCCAAGUAGCGUGAAGGAUGACUGCCCUAUGGGUUGUAAACUUCUUUUAUAUGGGAAUAAAACAGGGUAUGCAUACCCUCUUGUAUGUACCAUAUGAAUAAGGAUCGGCUAACUCCGUGCCAGCAGCCGCGGUAAUACGGAGGAUCCGAGCGUUAUCCGGAUUUAUUGGGUUUAAAGGGAGCGUAGGUGGAUUGUUAAGUCAGUUGUGAAAGUUUGCGGCUCAACCGUAAAAUUGCAGUUGAAACUGGCAGUCUUGAGUACAGUAGAGGUGGGCGGAAUUCGUGGUGUAGCGGUGAAAUGCUUAGAUAUCACGAAGAACUCCGAUUGCGAAGGCAGCAUACCGGCGCCCGACUGACGCUGAGGCACGAAAGCGUGGGGAUCGAACAGG